rnacentral:misc_RNA from 1 species
UUAAGUUCAGCGGGUAUUCCUACCUGAUCCGAGGUCAACCACUAAAAAUUUGGGGGUUUUAUGGCGGGAGGAUAGAGCCUUACAGAAGCGAGAAAUAAAUUUACUACGCUCAGAGGACAACUAUCGCUCCGCCACUGUCUUUAAGGAACUACAAUACAGUAGAUUCCCAACACUAAGCUAGGCUUAAGGGUUGAAAUGAC